rnacentral:rRNA from 1 species
UACGAAGGACCCAAGCGUUAUCCGGAUUUAUUGGGUUUAAAGGGUGCGUAGGCGGGUUAUUAAGUCAGUGGUGAAAGCUUCCGGCUCAACCGGAAAAUUGCCAUUGAUACUGAUGAUCUUGAGUAUGAUUGAGGUGGGCGGAAUGUGUCAUGUAGCGGUGAAAUGCUUAGAUAUGACACAGAACACCGAUUGCGAAGGCAGCUCACUAAGCCAUAACUGACGCUGAUGCACGAAAGCGUGGGGAGCAAACAGG